CACCGCGGUUAUACGAGGGGUCCAAGUCAAUAGUAUCCGGCGUAAAGAGUGGUUAGGAGAACUAAAAACUAGAGCCCUACAUCCCCAUGACUGUUAUACGCACCCGGGGAAUGGAUGACCUCCUACGAAAGUGGCUUUAAUAUAACUGAACCCACGAAAGCUAUAGAA
rnacentral:rRNA from 1 species